GACGAACGCUGGCGGCGUGCUUAACACAUGCAAGUCGAACGGAAAGGCCCUGCUUUUGUGGGGUGCUCGAGUGGCGAACGGGUGUGUAACACGUGAGUAACCUGCCCUUGACUUUGGGAUAACUUCAGGAAACUGGGGCUAAUACCGGAUAGGAGCUCCUGCUGCAUGGUGGGGGUUGGAAAGUGUCGGCGGUUGGGGAUGGACUCGCGGGUUAUCCGCUUGUUUGUGGGGUAGUGGCUUACCAAGGGUUUGACGGGUAGCCGGCCUGGGAGGGUGACCGGCCACAAUGGGACUGAGAUACGGCGCAGACUCCUACGGGAGGCAGCAGUGGGGAAUAUGGCACAACGGGCGGGAGCCUGAUGCGGCAGCGCCGCGUGCGGGAUGACGGCCUUCGGGUUGUAAACCGCUUUCGCAGGUGACGAGGCGUGAGUGACGGUAAUGGGUAAAGAAGCACCGGCUAACUACGUG
rnacentral:rRNA from 1 species